AGGACGAACGCUGGCGGCGUGCUUAACACAUGCAAGUCGAGCGGAAAGGCCCUUCGGGGUACUCGAGCGGCGAACGGGUGAGUAACACGUGAGCAACCUGCCCUUAGCUCCGGGAUAGCUCCGGGAAACCGGAAUUAAUACCGGAUAUGACCUAGGCCGACAUCGGCUGUGGUGGAAAGUUUUUCGGCUGGGGAUGGACUCGCGGCCUAUCAGCUUGUUGGUGGGGUAAUGGCCUACCAAGGCGACGACGGGUAGCCGGCCUGAGAGGGCGACCGGCCACACUGGGACUGAGACACGGCCCAGACUCCUACGGGAGGCAGCAGUGGGGAAUCUUGCGCAAUGGGCGAAAGCCUGACGCAGCGACGCCGCGUGGGGGAUGAAGGCCUUCGGGUUGUAACCCUUUCAGCAGGGACGAAGCGAAGUGACGGUACCUGCAGAAGAAGCGCCGGCUAACUACGUGCCAGCAGCCGC
rnacentral:rRNA from 1 species